CCAUAUCACAUAUGAUCAUUGAAGUUAAGCAACAUUGAGCCUGGUCAGUACCUAGAUAGGUGACUACUUGGGAAUAUCAGGUGCUGUAAG